rnacentral:rRNA from 1 species
AUUGAACGCUGGCGGCAGGCCUAACACAUGCAAGUCGAACGGUAACAGGAAGAAGCUUGCUUCUUUGCUGACGAGGGGCGGACGGUUGAUUAAUGCCUGGGAAAUUGCCUGAGGGAGGGGGGUAACUGCUGUAAACGUAACCUAUACCCGCUUAACGUGGCAAGACCAAAGAGGGGGACCUUCGGCCCUCUUGCCAUCCGAUUGGCCCAGAGCGGAUUAGGUAGUUGGUGGGAUACCGGCGUACCUAGCCGACGAUCCCUAGCGGGUCUGAGAGGAUGAUCAGCCACACUGGAAGUGAGACACGGCCCAGACGCCUACGGGAGGCAGCAGUGGGGAAUUUUGGACAAUGGGCGGAGGCAUGAUGGAGCCAGGCCGCGUGCAGGAUGAAGGCCUUCGGGUUGUAAACUGCUUUUGUACGGAAAGAAAAGCCUUCUUUUAAUACAGGAGGGUCAUGACGGUACCGUAAGAAUAAGCACCGGCUAACUACGUG